CAGGUGCAGCUGGUGGAGUCUGGGGGAGGCUUGGUCAAGCCUGGAGGGUCCCUGAGACUCUCCUGUGCAGCCUCUGGAUUCACCUUCAGUGACUACUACAUGAGCUGGAUCCGCCAGGCUCCAGGGAAGGGGCUGGAGUGGGUUUCAUACAUUAGUAGUAGUAGUAGUUACACAAACUACGCAGACUCUGUGAAGGGCCGAUUCACCAUCUCCAGAGACAACGCCAAGAACUCACUGUAUCUGCAAAUGAACAGCCUGAGAGCCGAGGACACGGCUGUGUAUUACUGUGCGAGAGACACAGUGAGGGGAGGUCAGUGUGAGCCCAGACACAAACC
rnacentral:lncRNA from 1 species